UACGUAGGGGGCAAGCGUUGUCCGGAAUCAUUGGGCGUAAAGAGCGUGUAGGCGGCUCGGUAAGUCCGCUCUGAAAGCCCGGGGCUCAACCCCGGGAGGCGGGCGGAUACUGUCGGGCUAGAGUCCGGAAGAGGCGAGUGGAAUUCCUGGUGUAGCGGUGAAAUGCGCAGAUAUCAGGAGGAACACCAAUGGCGAAGGCAGCUCGCUGGGACGGUACUGACGCUGAGACGCGAAAGCGUGAGGAGCAAACAGG
rnacentral:rRNA from 1 species